GUUACUUACUGUCAUACUUAAAAUGUGAUCCCUUACAAGACACUGAGGACUGAGUAAAAGCCCUUUGAAGCCAAACGACGGCUGCUGGGGAACUUUGACAUGUUUCUUUCAGACGACCGCAUUCGCCGCCUGCUGUCCUCGCACAUCGGCAAGCACUUCUACGAGAGAAAGAAGGAGCCUUUGUCAUUGAACCUGCAGAGCAAGAAGCUGGCCUUGGACAUCCAGAGGGAACAUCCAGGGAACAACAACCUCCAUUUCUAAGAAAGGCUGCUACUGCAUGGCUUGUGUGGCCCACUCUGGGAUGGCUGCAGAUGAAAUAGCAGAGAAUAUUGAUUCAGCUGUCAGCACCAUCGUGACAAAACUACGGGUUAGAAAGGACCGUUGAUAAAGGUCAUCCACUUGAAAAGCCAAUCAGUGGCUCUGCCCAUCUACACCUCUAACCUGAGUAACCUGACCCUUAUAGAUGAAACACAGAAACAGACCCGCGCAGCCAUGGAUGCCAAGGUGAUCCCUUACAAGACACUGAGGACUGAGUAAAAGCCCUUUGAAGCCAAACGACGGCUGCUGGGGAACUUUGACAUGUUUCUUUCAGACGACCGCAUUCGCCGCCUGCUGUCCUCGCACAUCGGCAAGCACUUCUACGAGAGAAAGAAGGAGCCUUUGUCAUUGAACCUGCAGAGCAAGAAGCUGGCCUUGGACAUCCAGAGGGAACAUCAGGGAACAACAACCUCCAUUUCUAAGAAAGGCUGCUACUGCAUGGCUUGUGUGGCCCACUCUGGGAUGGCUGCAGAUGAAAUAGCAGAGAAUAUUGAUUCAGCUGUCAGCACCAUCGUGACAAAACUACGGGUUAGAAAGGACCGUUGAUAAAGGUCAUCCACUUGAAAAGCCAAUCAGUGGCUCUGCCCAUCUACACCUCUAACCUGAGUAACCUGACCCUUAUAGAUGAAACACAGAAACAGACCCGCGCAGCCAUGGAUGCCAAGGUGAUCCCUUACAAGACACUGAGGACUGAGUAAAAGCCCUUUGAAGCCAAACGACGGCUGCUGGGGAACUUUGACAUGUUUCUUUCAGACGACCGCAUUCGCCGCCUGCUGUCCUCGCACAUCGGCAAGCACUUCUACGAGAGAAAGAAGGAGCCUUUGUCAUUGAACCUGCAGAGCAAGAAGCUGGCCUUGGACAUCCAGAGGGAACAUCCAGGGAACAACAACCUCCAUUUCUAAGAAAGGCUGCUACUGCAUGGCUUGUGUGGCCCACUCUGGGAUGGCUGCAGAUGAAAUAGCAGAGAAUAUUGAUUCAGCUGUCAGCACCAUCGUGACAAAACUACGGGUUAGAAAGGACCGUUGAUAAAGGUCAUCCACUUGAAAAGCCAAUCAGUGGCUCUGCCCAUCUACACCUCUAACCUGAGUAACCUGACCCUUAUAGAUGAAACACAGAAACAGACCCGCGCAGCCAUGGAUGCCAAGGUGAUCCCUUACAAGACACUGAGGACUGAGUAAAAGCCCUUUGAAGCCAAACGACGGCUGCUGGGGAACUUUGACAUGUUUCUUUCAGACGACCGCAUUCGCCGCCUGCUGUCCUCGCACAUCGGCAAGCACUUCUACGAGAGAAAGAAGGAGCCUUUGUCAUUGAACCUGCAGAGCAAGAAGCUGGCCUUGGACAUCCAGAGGGAACAUCCAGGGAACAACAACCUCCAUUUCUAAGAAAGGCUGCUACUGCAUGGCUUGUGUGGCCCACUCUGGGAUGGCUGCAGAUGAAAUAGCAGAGAAUAUUGAUUCAGCUGUCAGCACCAUCGUGACAAAACUACAGGUUAGAAAGGACCGUUGAUAAAGGUCAUCCACUUGAAAAGCCAAUCAGUGGCUCUGCCCAUCUACACCUCUAACCUGAGUAACCUGACCCUUAUAGAUGAAACACAGAAACAGACCCGCGCAGCCAUGGAUGCCAAGAAAAAUGCGCGGAAACAGAAGUCUGCAAAGAAAGAACAGAAGUCUACAGAAAAAAACUCUGGUGCUGACAGGGAGGAAGAGGUUCCCAUAGUAAUGCCAAGGAAAAAGGCUAGUGGAGAAGCCGACCAAGAAGGGACUUGUGAAGGUACCCAAACCAACAGGAGGAAAGGUAUAAAAUAAAAAAUGACCAAGAAGGCUGCAAAAAUACCUUCACAAAAUAUGAAAAGAGAAAGUGCCUAAAUCUUAAUGUCUGUUUGUCAACUCAGUGUAACACAACUCUCCUUUCUCUCCCCAUUGCUACCUGUGUAUUACUCCCGCCUUCUCUAAAUGGAACUCUGACUUCAUUAUACUGAUAUAAAAAGGACUGGUUCUGAAUGUAUAUAAACUGUCAAUGUUAAUCGAGCCAAGGACAAACUCAAAUGUGUUGCAAAUCUUUGUCUGCCCCAUAAAAGGGUCUUGUUCAAAAUCAUAUUUUUUAUAAGCCCAACUUGUAAAUUAAAAUAUUACCACAAAGUAUA